rnacentral:rRNA from 1 species
AUUGAACGCUGGCGGCAGGCCUAACACAUGCAAGUCGAACGGGUGGCGGACGGGUUAGUUAUGUCUGGGAAACUGCCUGAUGGAGGGGGAUAACUAAUGGAAACGGUAGCUAAUACCGCAUACCAUCAGAUGUGCCCAGAUGGGUUGAGCUUGUUGGUGGGGGAACGGCUCACCAAGGAGACGAUCCCUAGCUGGUCUGAGAGGAUGCCCCGCCACACUGGAAUUGAGACACGGUCCAGACUCCUACGGGAGGCAGCAGGGGGGAAUAUGGCACAAUGGGCGCAAGCCGGAUGCAGCCAUGCCGCGUGUAUGAAGAGGGCCUGCGGGUUGUAAAGUACUUUCAGCGGGGAGGCGUUACCCGCAGAAGAAGCACCGGCUAACUCCGUGCCAGCCGCCGCGGUAAUAC